rnacentral:lncRNA from 1 species
AAGGGCACAUUGAUGAUCAACUGAUAUGCAGACUCCAUUUCUGGAACACAGGCUAGCAGUUACUUUUACCUUGAAGGUGGAUGACAGAAACUCAAGGCUUACUGGCAUCUCCAUGUUCACAUUCUCAUUGCCCUGCCCACGCUGGGACUUGGGACCUGGCUCUCACCCUGGUGCUUUGAGCCACCAAAGACACAAAGCCUGUGCAAAUCAUUCCCCUUUCUUCCCUUUCAUUGCUGGCCUGAGAGUGCCACUUGCAUCCUUUGCCUCUGGCCUGAUCUCCCUGAUGAAACCACUCCUGAAGGGUCCCCCACCCCCAAUGAUGGCAAUGAUACUUGCACAAGGCUAGACUGUCAGCUCCCUGAGGGAAGACUGCCGGCAGCUUCUUCUAUACAGAUUGUGGAUGUCUCCAGAGUGUGCAGUUUGAUACAGUCUUCUUGACCUUGGUCGUCUCUCCACUUGGUGAGAGCCGGGCUGGGGGUUUG